AACGAACGCUGGCGGCGUGCCUAACACAUGCAAGUCGAACGAGACCUCCGGGCCUAUGUGCGCACGGGGGGUUGACGCGUGGGAACCUACACUUGGGUUCCGUAUAACUCCCCGAGGGGGGUGCUCAUGCCACAUAAUGUCUUCGGACCAACGAUUUUUCGCCUUUGGGUGGGCCCGCGUUGGAUUCGCUAGUUGGUAGUGUAAAAGCCUACCAAGGAGACGAUGCAUAGCUGGUCGGAGAGGAUGAUCAGCCAGACUGGGACUGAGACACGGCCCAGACUCGGACGGGAGGCAGGAGUAGGGAAUAUUGGAGACUGGGGGAAAGCCUGGUAAAGCAAUGCGGCGUGAGUGAGGAAUGCCGUAGGGUUGCAAAGUUCUUUUAGCCGGGAUGAUAGUGACAGUAACGGGUGAAUAAGCUCCGGCUAACUACGUG
rnacentral:rRNA from 1 species